rnacentral:lncRNA from 1 species
CUUUUUUUUCUUUUCUUUAAUCUGGAUUGAGACUUUUUCUUUUGGUUAUCUUGAACCGUGAGCGUCAAAGUAAAACAUGCUCAGACACCAAAACAAGCAAACGAAUGAAAUGUUUUGGCCGCAUUUUUCACUAGAAAAAUUUCAUGAGUUAUUGAAAGCAAUAAAAGAUCGGGGUUGGUGUACCCUAGGAAAACAUGGUUCUUUGGGAAUGGUGUACCCUGAUUGUCUAAAUGGUGCCUCAACUAAGGAUUGGUGUGCCUUAUGUCGAGGAAAUACGAAGAAGGAAUGGUGUACCCUAUGUCUAAAAUAACAUCAACUAGGGAGUGGAGACCCUAUGCUGGAAAAGAAAAGUAGGGAGUGAGACCCUCUGUCUAAAAUAAUGUCAACUAGGGAGUGGAGACCAUAUGUCUAAAAUAAAAUCAACUAGGGAGUAGAGACCCUAUGUUGGAAAAGAAGACUAGGGAGUGGAGACCCUAUUUAUAAAAUAAACAUCAACUAGGGAGUGGAGACCCUAUGAUGGAAAAGGAGACUAGGGAGUGGAGACCCUAUGUCUAAAAUAAAAAUCAAUUAGAGAGUGGAGACCCUAUGUUGGAAAAGAAGACUAGGGAGUGGAGACCCUAUGUCAAAAAUAAAAUCAACUAGGGAGUGAAGACCCUAUGUUGGAAAAUGAGACUAGGGAGUGGAGACCCUAUGUUGGAAAACGAGUCUUGGGAGUGGAGACCCUAUGUCUAAAAUAUCGUCAACUAUGUAGUGGAGACCCUAUGUUGGAAAAGGAGACUAGGGAGUGGAGACCCAUGUCUUAAAUAACAUCAACUAGGGAGUGGAGACCCUAUGUUAUAAAAGGAGACUAGGGAGUAGAGACCCUAUGUCUAAAAUAAAAUCAUGAUUUUGAACUUUGUUUUUUCUUUCUUUUUUCAUCAUUUCAAUCAUUCAUUUUUUUAGAGAAUGAGUAAAUGCAGGAAAGAAUUUGGAGAAGACAUCCCUUUUGGAGUUGUUGCUGCUGCAGAGCUGUUUCUAGCCCCCGCGCAGUUUCUUUUGGUUGCACCUGCUUCUUGAAAGGUUGCUUUUAGAUUGCACCUAUUUCGUGUUUUUCAAACAAAGAACAAUUUAUCAGUUUGAAAUGGUGGUUGGUUUUGUAGCCUUGAAUGUUUUAGUCACUUUAUCUCGGUACGGCUUCUUUGAUGAUACUUUCAACUGUAACUGGAUGUUUCCUGAAUACCGAUUUCACUUAUGGCCCAGAGAACCUUUGGCUUUUCCAAACUUUGCCAUGACGGUCGGUCACAUGGGACUUAAGCUUUUUCAAAUUAAAUUUGCCUUUGUAGGCCUUUGACUUCUUUCUUCCAAGUUUAACUUCAGAGUAUUGGGGAACCUUUGGCUUUUCAAACUUUGCCAAGACGGUUAGCCACUUGGGACUUAACCUUUUCAACUUCAUUUCGCCCUUGUAGGCACUUCAGUUUGAUUUCCUCCUUCCAAGAGUUUUUUAUUUUGAAACAUUGGCCGCCAUGGCCAGUCGGGGUCGACUUGGUGCCCCUUCCGAGACUGGGUGCCUAUUUUGUAUAUUAGCUUGUAUCAAACGGGAGCCCUAUAAAUCAGUCUUGUCAUCCCUUCUUUGUCUUAGUUUUUGGAAACAAAGUUAGACUGAAAAUGAAUCAAAGAAAAAUAAGCAAUUGAAUGGAGAAUAAGUUUAAACAAGAGGUAUCCCUUACCGGGAAAGGAUAGAAGGACUUAUUUGGAGUAAAUGCAGACUUCGGUGAACAUGACACGCUUUUUGGAAUGGAUGCCUGAUCUGUGCAAACUGUCCGACUCUCAGAAAUUGAUCACAACCUUUGCCUCAAAACCGAGAAACCUUGCCCAGGACUGUGUCGAUGGCAAUGGCUGUGAGGAUUAUCUUUUUGAUCAGUGGCGCCCUUUGAGGGUUUUCACCAGUUGACCUCUCUCAUUUAUCUUCUCACCAUCACCUUAUAGUGCUCUUUGCGAGUUUUCAAUACAAGACUCUCUCAUUUUAGUUUCUUUACUCCCCAUCGCCUUAUGGUGCUCGUGAGAAUUUUCACCAAUAAGACUAUCUCAUUUUGGUUGAAUCAGAUUAAAGUAACUGUAUCCUCCAAUUUUGAACAUCUUUGUCGAUUGAUCAGAAGUACUUGGAAAGGAUUUGGGUAAAAGAAUUUUGGAUUGAAUUAUAACUUUGGAACCUUUUGGUAUGAUUGAAUCCCAGAGAGAGGCUGCCUAUGUAUCCUUUUGGAAUCAAGUCAAACUUAGUUCAAUUAGCAAGAACUGCUUUGGAUUUUUGUUUUGUUUUCUUUUACUUCUUCUUUCUCUCCACUUUUUUCUUUCUUGUUUUUUUUUUAAUAAUAUCUUAAGGUUCCAAAAAGGGUAAUUAAAGAAAGGUAACCGGCUCAAAAAGGGUUAGAAAAGGGUCAACCAUAGUACCUUUUGACUGCAUCCGCGUUGACAGUUGUUUUAGGGACAUUUCUUUCGAUGCUUCCAAAGUGCAGCACUAUCUUUUGGCAUUACUCUCGUUACAAUGUAUGGACGUUUCUAGGUUGGAGCCAAUUAUCCUUUAGCUUCUUCACGAGGUGGGAGGAUACGUCUCAGAAUAAGUUGUCCUAUUUCAAAUUUCCUAGGUCAUACUUUCUUGUUGUAGACACGGACCAUUCUUGUGUUGGUACAACUAUCAGUGGCAAGCUGCGGCGAAUCAUUUUUUCAUUAAUCAGUGUCAAUUGUUCUAAUCGGUUCUUGACCCAAUCUUUAUCCUAAAUCUCGUUUUCAACAAUGAUCCAAAGAGAGGGAUUUUCGACUUUUUUCAAUUUCAUUCGAACAUGGCUUAGGCCUACUGUUCCAAUUCUUUGUUUAUUUUCUCACAAACUUCAUCGUCAACACAUUCUGCUUCUUGAUUCAUUAUUUCGAGGUCUGGCAGCUUUUUAGGAUCUGGGCAUAAAGUCCGCAAGCAUGUCAUGUUAUUAAAAUCUGCAUUAAUAGAACUGAAAAUAGAAUAAGCAAAGUGAUAAGAAUAGAAAAAUAGAACUCAAAUCGGCAUUUGAAUUUUUUUGUUUAAUUUUUAAAGAUAGAAGGGUUUACAUGAAAAAGUAAGACAAAAAAGUAAAACAAUCGGAUUACACCCUAAAAUAAUCCGAAAGCAGAAAAGACAGCAAGACGGUCUGACAGAGAACUUUUCAAGUUUGGCGCCUGCUUUUUGGUUUCUCUUCUACUGCGGCAAUGGCUACUAUGGCUUUCAAUGCUGGAUCAAAUUUCCCAUCAUCACAGAUUAUUACAACGACUAGGCCGUUGUUGUGAUUAGGAAAAAAAUUGGUUGUUACAUUAGGAGCCUCUUCAUCCCUAAGAAGGAUUCGCUUAGCUUCAAUCAAGUCUUCAACUCCCCUUUUGAGGGUCCAAUAGUCCUUUGUAUUGUGUCCCACUGCUCCAGAGUAAUAUUCACAUCUAGCAUCAGCUUGGUGCGAGGGGGACUUGGGGUUUGGCUGCUUCGGGGCCACUGGCUGCAGCAGGCCUAGCCUGACUAACUUUUGGAACAAACUUGAAUACGAUUCACCAAUUCUGAGGGGCUCUCUUGGGCGAGGAUUGUAUUAGGGAACAUUUGGUUGAGGAUUAUACGGAUCUUGGUAUGGAUAUGCAUUUACGGGAGGUGGAGCUCAGUUUUGUGUAUAAUGUUGUGGUCGUGUGUAAGUUUGCGCGUUCAUCACUGCAUAGGGAACCGGUGCCACGACAUAAGAAGCAUCUUGAUGGGGAUAAUAGUGUUGUGGGACCUUACGAGGCAUAUAUGACUGGUUGAAUAACCUACGGGCCCCCACGAGCUAGAAGCCAUCAUGGCUUCCUCUUCUCUCCUGUUUCUGUUCAUCAACCCCCCUGAACCAUUCAUAAUGGCCUGUGAUGUGGCCUUAAAGAUAGCAUGACUCAAAAUUCUGCCCGUUUUAAACCAUUUUCGACCCGCUCUCCAAUUUUGAUAGCCAUAGUGAACGUCUUACCCGUAGCGAACAUUAUGUUCUGGAAGUAGUCUACCUCUUGGGUCUGUAGGAAGCUCGUAACCAUUUCUGCUUCGUCGAUUGAAGGCUUUACCCCGACAGCUUGCUCACGCCAUUGAUAGUAUAUUCACGGAAAAUUACCGCAGUUUUCUUUUUCAAACUGGACAAAGAGUUUCUGUCGGGAGCGAUGUCCACAUUAUACUGGAACUGGCGGACAAAAUCUUAGGCCAGAUCGUCCCACACAUGCCAAUGGGUAAUUUCUUGAUCCAUAUACCACUCAGAAGCCAUUCUGGUGAGGCUUUCUCCAAAAUUGGCCAUUAACAUCUCCUCUUUUCCACCAGCACCCCUCUUCUAGUUACAGAAUCAUUUCAAAUGAGCGAUUGGGUCUCCGUGCCCGUCGUGCUUUUCAAGUUUUGGCAUUUUGAAGCCAGUCAGCAAAUGAACAUAGGGAAAUAUACACAGGUCAUAGUAUGAGACACUUCUUUGGCCACUCAGGCCUUGCAUGUUUUUCAGGCUUUGUUCCAGGCUUUUCAUCUUCUGAGCCAUUUCCUAUUGCUCGGGAUUCUUGACAAACCUUUUUUGCUCAACCGAGAAGUCACAUUGUGGAGGUUGAGUAAACGAGUAUGGGGUCACAUAUGUUAUUUCUGGUUAGAACUGUGGAUCCUAAAAGGUGAACGUUGGAGGCACAACAUACGGCCGUGGUAUAGUUGGUUGUGUUGUCGUGCAGACUGGUGCUGCAGAGAACAUUGAUGGCGGUGUCUUUGAAGCCGGCGCCUGGGGGUGAACCAUAAAAGGCAUGCCAGGACCGUUAGACGACAUUAGAGAGUACCCGCAUGAGAUGAACGGGUUGAGCACAGGGAUGUUGGUAGCCGCACCUGACCUUUGGAUCAACUUAGGGAACCCAGGAAUUGCACUCGGCAGUUCCCUACCAUUAGACCAGGUGUCCCACAUUUCCAACAUGCGGAGAUGCAACAUCCUAUUCUUAUCAGCAGUUGCUGAUUCUGGUUGUGCUAUAGCCGAUACCGGGCAAUCCUUAGGAUCGAUAAUUAGUGGAUGACUUUUGGAGACCAUAAGAACCCUGCCUUUGGAUCUUGUGAAGUAAGGAUGGGAAGCCAGAUUACCAACAAAAAUCAACCACCAAAAUAGAACCUGGCUCAAUUGCAUGCACAACAACCUUCUUAGUUUUGAGGCAUUUAACAUACAGAAAAUCACACUUUGGGAUGCAAUGCACUUAAACAAUAAAAUGCUUCUACCAUGCGUUUGAACGUUUGCGUAUUUUGUCCUGUCUUUUAAAUGUCCCUUUCCAUUCUAUACCUCUAUCAUUUCCAUUUAUGGCUCUCUUUUUCGAUUACUUUACUCUUGCUUUCUUUUUUUUCGCUCUUUAUUUUUCUCUGUUAUUUUUGUCACACUUUUCCUUCUUUUUCUUUCUCUUUUUUUUACUCAGUUUAUUUAAUGGUAAUGAUCGAAUCCGAUAGGGAUUGCCUGUGAUUCAUGAUGCCGCAUGAAUCAGAUUAUUACGUAAUUUGGGGAUACCUGGAACAAAGUACAUAAGCUAGCUCUUUUUUAGUUUUUUAUCGAUUUAAUUUUUUUUAUUUGUUCUAUGGGAAUUUUUGAAAAGAAGACUUCAUAAAGAAGAAAGAAAAUAUUCUUGGAUUUCGACUUGUUCUUUGGGGAAUUUUUGACAAAAAAGACUUCUAAAGAAAGAAGAAAAUAUUUUUUGAUUUUGAUAUUUUUGCUUUUGAAUUUUCAAAAGAACAAGUUCUAAAGAAGAAAAAAAAUAUUUUAGAUUUUGAAUUAAAAAAAAUUUUCUUUUUUUUUUUGAAUGAAAGACUUCGGAAAAGAAGGAAAAUAUUUUUUGGAUUUUCUAAGGAAAGAGUUCUAAGAAGGAAUUAAGUAAAGGGAAAAUAUUUUUAGAUUUUUUAUAAAAAUAGAUGGCUGGAACCGAUGAGAUUUACCUACGUAUCUCACAUCCUGUGAGAAUCAGACCCGCGUAGUUCGAUAAGUUUUGACACAACAGGAAAAACAUGACUUUCGAAAACAUUGGCUUAUUUUGAAAUGAUUUUUUUCCUUCAAAAAUGCGGCAGAGUUUCGGGAUUUUCAAAUACUUGGACUUUCAGAACCGGGUAAAUCUCCCUCUCCUCACUCUUAUUUUUUAUUGCUUUUCUUUUCCUAGUAUAGAAGCCGGUGAACAUGCAAGACGAAUUAAAUAAAUGCACAAGUAGAUCGUAAAAUGCAUCAGGAUGGUCUUUUAAUUUUGGGUACACCUGUCCUAGACGGACCCAACCCCUCUGUUGAUUCCCCAAAGUCAAAUUCACGUGAUGCAAACAAGCGUUCCUACUAGGGAUUCAGCAUGAGGCUAUGUUAUUCUAGGUUUGAAUCCCGGGGUGUGUUGUUUUAGACCUGGCUUACCCGAGCGAAUGACUCGAGCCGAGGGGUGGCAAUGUAACGGGAACCAAAAGGCCAUCCGUCUUUGUAACUUAUCCGAUCCUCGUUCUAAAUUAGGGAUAUGACACUCUAACAGAAAAGAAGCCACGCCAACGUGCGCUUCCCAGAAGAUUUAUAAAGACUUCGAGAGAGAAGGGUUUCGUAACAACUUAUAUACAGUUCACAUAAUAUCAAAGCGGUAAAUGAGCGGCAAUUAGUGCAUUACAACCAAACAUGUAAUAUCAGACAAUCACUAGAAAGCCAAGCAUAACAGUUACUCUAAGCUCAAAUUCUGAACCCUGAACUAGAAGUUUUGGGUUCGUGAUCCCCAACAAAUUUACCAGAGCUGUCACGCCUCCUUUUUCCGAAGAAUAGGGAGUUUUUGCAAUUAAAGUGACAUUAUUCGAAAUGGGAUUAUUUAUUUAAUUAGAAUCGCCGUUUGGGGUAAUUAUUAUGGUAUCCCAAGUCACAGGUUUAUUUUAUAAUCUCAAAUCAAGGUAAUUAACUCUAUUAUGGUCCGCGAAGGUAUGAGGUACUCCCUAGUUCCAUAGAUUUAGCACGAUCGCUGAAUAAUUAAUAAUUAUCCUAAUUAUCUUACUAAGUAAACGUUUAAAACCUAUUAUGCAUUACCGCUUCUAUACCGCUUUUAAUUAUUUAUUUAAUCGCUUUUAGUAUUUAUGGAAUUUAUUUGAACAAGUUGCGAAGUCGUGCACUUGUUGUUUUUGUACAUAUUGCGAAUCGCGCCACGUGAAAUGCACUCACGAUUUACAACAUGUUUAUUUUUAUUAUUAUUUGAAGUUGAGGUCAAGUCGCGUGAAACGCACACUUGAGUUGGAAUUUACGUAUCUUGACAAUGCCAUUAUAACUAUGGAACUUGUUUGUGAAUGAAAAUGUAAACACUAGUCCAUUCUAAUUCUUUGGACCCUUGAAGCAUUAUAACUAGUUAAAAGUGAUCAAUUAUGAUGGGGAACUGGACACGGGCAGUGGUUAAGGGCUCCAUUCCUAAUUUGUUUUUUUUUUCCUUCAAUAUAUGAGGCCCACGUUGUAAUCUCUAAAAGAUCUAGUACGGGCCUAUGCAAGCUUGGGGUAUGGCCCAUUAUUCUGCUACCAAUUCAGUCAUACAAUCAGAGACAAUUACACAUACCUCUAAGCCUUAAUAUUUGAUUAAAUAGCACAUUCUUGAAUCAAAGUGAACUACUCAUAUGAAGGAAAAUUCAUAUUACAGUUAAGUAGUAAAGGAAAUAGUGUUUUAAUGGUUGAGUGUAACAACACAAAUCAUGCUUGCAAAGAAUUACUACUCCCUAAACUUUACGUUUGAAACUGAGAGAAUCAAAUGAUCAAAAUCACAAUUACUUUUAUGCAACCCGGUUUGAAAUGAAUUACAUAUACCUACAGCUAUUAUUUCAGAGUUAAUACAAAAUUCUAGUUUUCGGAGACAUUGAGAAUCCUUCAACAUUCGCGACUCCUCAGGCUAGUUUUUAGCUCACAAUCAAAGCACACAUUGUUAUCAAUUCAAUCAAUACUUCAAAUUAAUUCUAGAAGCUCAUAAACUCCAUUGAUUUCCAAUGGUCAUGCUACAAUCUUGAUUAUCCCUCAACAUCAAAAAGGUCAUAUGAACAAACUGAAAAACUCAAAUUCAUUACAAAUUGGAACCGGUACAAGGGUAGUGGUAAUUGGUGAAUAAACUCAACUCAGAAUUUUAGCUUCUUAACGCAGAUACAAACACAUCACAGCUGAACAAUCAGUAUAAAUAAACCUUAUAUCAAUUAACAUGGAUACAUGAAAUUAAACAUGGACACAACAUGCAAUUCAGAUCUUCAAGUAAACAUCCUAUCAGAGAAAUACAGAGGUACAAUCACAUACCUAGAAGCAAAAUCAAUAGAUGAACUUGACAGAAAUAAAGGUUGGAGAUGAAAGGUGAAAUCUAGCAAGCAAGAAACAGCAACAAACUCAACAAUUAAGUCAAAAGUUCCACAGUUUAAAUGCCACUCGAAAUCCAAGAAAAAGUGAAGCAAAACCAGUAGAAAUUGGAAGGAGAACCAACUUUGAAUUUUUUUUUUGUUUUAUGUAUCUAAUUUGAACUUCGGGUUUGUUUUUCUAUCAAGAGAAGUCCGUGAGGAUAAAGGAAUAUGUGUGAGAUUUCUGCUGUGUUUUUCUGAAGAAUGCAUAAAUAAAAGAUGCCUAAACUAUGUGUGUGAGUGAGUCUUUUAUGCAGAAAAAUGAGAGAAUGUGUGAGAGAAUCUGUCAGCUGAAAAAUAGGAAAGAAGCAUAUGUUUUUAACAUAUUUUUGGACAGUUGUCCAUUCAGAUUAUUCCUUCCUUUUUUAAUUGCCCCUUUAAUUUCUGAAUUUACCCCUUUUUACCCUAAAUUUGACAUAAUUUCCCUUGUCUUAUUGUAUUUUAUUCCCUUUCUAGAAGCUUCCUACAUAGCUACCUAAAAUUUCCUAUUUUGCUUUCCCAAUUACCCCCUUAAAUUUAUGAUAUUUAUAAAUUAACUCUAACAAGAAAAUCAAACUGAUCCAGAGAUAAAGCAGAACUGACAAUUAUGCAAAUUAACUGAAUAAUCUGGUUCAACAUCUAAUUAAUUCAAAAUCAAUUAUCAUAACAACUCAUGCAAUUAACUAACUAACAUGUAAUUAAAUAUUAACCAAUUCAUGCAAAAGAUGAGACUAUCUAAUCUUAAAUCCUAUUUGGUACGAAUCAUGUUUAAAAUUUGAGAAGAGUAGCAUACUUUGAGAAAACUUGAAGAAAAGAGAACUAAUUAAUCGAAGAGGAAAGAAAAGAAAGAAAUUACCUAUUAAUCUUUAAACAAAAUAGCAUAGAGCUCCGACGGAAUCUGGACGGUCAAACAAUGGCAUUGAUCAAAAUAUGACCUCCAAGAUACGGCAUGAAACUUACAUCAACGAAUAGUUCUCAUCAAGAGCUUCCAAAUGAUGUAAAUUUUAACUGUAAAUGGAUGGAAUCAGUCAAGUGAUUAGAAGGGAAAAGGCGACGGCUAUGGUUUAGUUUCAAGAUCUAAAAAUUGACAAGAACAAGAAAGCUUUGAAAGGAAAAGUUAAGGGAUUUGGAGAGAUGAGGAUGUGAGGAUCUUUUGGUGAAGGUUUGAGGGUGUUUGGAGGUGAGCCGCCGGAGAGAGGAGUUUUUGGUAAAGGUUUAAGGGUCGGGUUCAGACAGCUAUAUGGGGGGAAAUGAUUAGAUACGAGCCAUUUGAUGAACGAAGAGCAGCGACUGGGGAUUUAGGGGGCUAAACGAGGUCGUUUUGGGUUAGUGAGGGGGUUGGACCGGGUAGUGGGAGUGGACUGGGGCGAUUUUGGAGAAACAUUGGGCUUGAAACAAAAGCCUAGUCCGAUUUUUGCUUAGCAGCCCUUCUCUUUAUUUUCCUUCCUUGUUAGAUUUUGCAAAAUUAAACAUCUUUAAAUACCCCCUAAAUUGAACCUAUUUUGACAAAAUUAAAACUUGAUACCUUUUCCAUUUACCAAUUGAACAAAUUAAAUAUUUGAUAUUAACUAAAUAAUGCAAGGAAUAUGCGAAAUAAAAUGACUAAUAUUUUUUUUUAAUCAAAUAUCUAUGUGAUUAUGCCUUUAAAACUUUCAAAUAAACACCAAAAAUGCAAAGACGAUACAAAGCAAUUAAAAUUAUUUUGAAUAUUUUUUAGGAGUAAUUUUAUAUAUGGUGCAAAAAUUACAUGCUCACAGGAGGAACAAGCAAAUGAAUUUGCAUCUAAGCCGCCUGUCGUUGAGAUGAGCACUGAUGAUCUUUGGCAGAAGGUACAGGCUAGAGAAUACUCUGUUGUUGAUCACCUGAACAAGACUCCCGCCCAGAUAUCCAUUUUGUCACUAUUGCAAAAUUCAUACGCGCACAAGAAUGCCUUGAUGAAAGUGUUAAGCGAAGCUAAUGUGCCCACCAGUAUCACUAGCGGGGAGAUGGCUAACACGGUCGGACAAGUGCUGGAGAGUCACAAAAUUACUUUCCACGAAGAUGAGUUACCGCCAGAAGGGUUGAGCCACAACAAGGCAUUGCACAUCACUCUGCAAUUUGAAGACAAGUUCAUUACCAGGGUCCUGAUAGAUGGAGGUUCGAGCCAGAACAUAUGCCCGAUGACCACUUUGAAAAGAUUAGGUAAAGGCCUGUAUGAGAUACAGAUGGGAAGCAUGAAUCUGAAAGCGUUCGAUGGAUCUUAGCAAGAAAAUAUAUGAGAAAUCAACCUUGAUCUACAAAUGGGCCCGACCUGGUUUGAUGUCGAAUUCCAAGUGCUAGACAUAUUCGCUACCUACAACCUGAUAUUGGGACGACAAUGGAUACAUGCAGAUGGGGAAGUCGCUUCUACCCUGCACCAGAUUGUGAAGUUCAAGUGGAAUCAUCAAGAGACCAACCAGACCGUGCUAGUGAUCAAAAAAAAGAGGAAAUUGGGAGGAGAAACAUACCACCGCAUUGAGCGAGUAAACGAAAUUGAGAAGGAUCGAUGGUGGAGCAAUAAGAUAGAAAUCAUAUAGAUGUGGUUGGGAUAUGAAACAUGCAAGGGUCUUAGCCGAAUGCUUAAGGGGAGUAGAGAACCCAUACGACCACUGUAUCAUGGCACGGCCUUUGGGCUCGGAUAUAAAUAUAUCGUGCAAGAGUACCACGAUUGGACACUGCCCGGGCGCACUGAUUACUAUCCGCUGGAACAACCCAUACCACCACUGCACCAGACAUUCCGCCAGACUAACAUGAUUUGGGAUCCGAGGAAGAUGAGAUUUUGGCCGGUAUGAGGAAGUUGUUUUUAAACGAGGAAGCCAUGGACUGCAGUGCAAUUUUAGAGGAGGAGGAGGAAGACCUUACUAUUUAGACAGUGGGAGAAGGAGUUGUUCUCAAGAACUGGACCGCUGCACCGUCCCGGGCUCGCCGAGUACUUGGGUAGCCUGACAGAAUUAGCAUGACUUAUUUUUAAAUUGUUUUUGAGCAUCUAAGAAAUUUUCAGUGUUUUGUUUUGAAAUAAUUACUCGAGCCAUCGAGUCGUACUUGUUGACAAUUCUAAGCAUUAUUAAUGCAUUAUUACUUUUCGUAUUUAUUAUUAUCUUUCUACAUUCUUUUCAGCGUAAUUAUUACAUAUCCUAAUGAACCUACGACAGUGACAUGUAAUGAGACAACACAACAUAAGGACAGUGAUUUGGAAGAUGAUAUAAUACAUGAGGAAAUUAUCAAAGAAGUAGAGAAUUUUGAGAACAAACCAAAUUUCAAGUUGGAGGAAACUGAGGUAAUUAACUUAGGGAGUUUUGAAAUAGUCAAAGAAACUCGCAUAAGUAUUUAUUCAUCACCGUCAGAAAAGGAAAUAUAUAUCAGGUUUCUAAAGGAGUAUGAGGAUAUUUUUGCAUGGUCCUACAAUGAUAUGACUGGGUUAAGCAUAUUUAUAUUAGCUCACAAGCUACCUAAUAACCCCAUGUGUCCGCCGGUAAAGCAGAAGCUCAGAAAAUUCAAGCCAGAUAUGAGUGUGAAGAUAAAAGAGGGGGUUACCAAGAAAAUCAAUGCCUAGGUCCUUCGAGUAGUCGAAUACCCGACCUGAUUAGCCAACAUUGUGUCAGUUCUGAAGAAAGAUGGAAAAGUCAGGUGUGUGUUGACUAUCGAGAUCUGAGCAGAGCAAGUCCUAAGGUUGAUUUUACUAUGCCCAACAUACACAUACUGAUCCACAACUGCGCCAAGCAUGGACUCUAAUCCUUUGUGGAUUGCUUCGCAGUGUACCACCAGAUUUGGAUAGAUAAGGAGUACGCCGAAAAUAUAGCCUUUAUCACGCCGAAAAGGUGUACGUGGAUGAUGUUAUCAUCAAAUUUAAGAGAGGUUAAUAUCACAUAGCAGACCUGCGAAAGUUUUUUGACCAACUUCGAAAAUACAAUUUGAAGCUAAAUCCUGCAAAAUGUGCUUUCAAAGUCCCUACUGGGAAGUUGCUAGGUUUCAUCGUCAGUCACUGCGGUAUUGAGCUAGACCCGUCAAAAAUCAAAGCUAUUCAUGAUUUGCCACCACCAAAGAACAAGAAAGAUAUGAUGCGUUUCCUGGGACGCCUCAAUUAUAUCAGCCAUUUUAUAGCACAAUCAACUGUGAUAUGUGAGCCGAUCUUCAAGAUGCUGAGGAAAGAUGAUGCGACAAACUGGACCGAAGAAUGUGAAAAGGCUUUUGAAAAAAUCAAGGAAUACUUGUCUAAACUGCCCGUGUUGGACCCGCCAGAACUAGAAAGACCUUUGUUAUUGUAUCUGUGUUGGAUGGAGCCUUUGGUUACGUUCUGGGGUAACAUGAUGAAAUCGGAAGGAAAGAACAGGCGAUAUAUUAUAGGAGCAAGAAGUUCACACCUUACGAGGCCUGGUAUUAUUUACUAGAGCACACCUAUUGUACUUUGACAUGGAUAGCCCAGAUGUUGAGACAUUAUUUCUAUGUGUACACUACAUAUCUCAUAUUAAGGAUGGAUUCGCUCAAAUACCUCUUUCAGAAAACCAUGCCUACAAGUAAGUUAGCAAAGUGGCAGAUAUUGCUAACUUAGUUCGACAUCAUUUAUGUGACCCAGAAGCCAGUCAAAGGGCAAGCAUUGGCCGAUCACUUGGCAGAGAACCCCAUAGACAGAGAAUACGAACAAUUAAAGAUGUAUUUUUCCAAUGAAUAAGUGUCGUUUGCAGGCGAGGAUAUUGUCGAAACAUACGACGGUUGGAGGAUGUUUUUCGACGGAGCAACAAAGAUGGUAUUAGAAACUGGUCAACAUUAUCCUGUAUCCGCAAAGCUCAGGUUCCCGUGCAUAACCAAUAUGGCGGAGUAUAAGGUCUGCAUCCUGGGACUCAGGUUGGACAUCAACAUGAAUGUUCAGGAGUUGCUGGUAAUGGGAGAUUCUGAUCUAUUGGUACACAAAGUACUAGGAGAAUGGGCUACCAAGAACACUAAUAUUUCCAUACCUGCAUUGUGUACAAGAGUUGAUCAAGAGGAUCACAAAAAUAGAAUUCAAGCAUGUUCUGAGGAUCUAGAAUGAGUUCGCAGAUGCAUUAGCCACCUUGUAUUGCAUGAUACAACAUCCAAACAAGAAUUUCAUUGAUCUUAUCCCAAUCGAGAUUUGUAAGCAACCAUCUUAUCGUGCUCAUGUUGAAAAAGAGUUUGACGUAAAACCAUGGUUCCACCAUAUCCGGGAAUAUUUGGAGAUAGGAGAAUACUCAAAAUAUUCCACGCAUACUCAGAAGCGCGCACUUCGAAGAUUGGCCAACAAUUUCUUUUAGAGCAUAGGAAUUUGGUAUAGAAGGACUCCUGACUUGGGAUUGGUAUGAUGUGUCCAUGCCACAGAGGCAUCUAGAUUGCUCGAAUAAAUACAUGCCAAAACUUGCAGACCUUACAUGAGCGAUUUCAUUUUAGCCAAGAAGAUAUUAAGAGCAGGGUAUUUUUGGAUGACCAUGGAGACGGGCUGCAUCAAAUAUGUUAGAAAAUGUGACCAAUGCCAGAUACAUGCUGAUAUGAUACGAGUGCCGCCUAAAUAACUUAAUACAAUGAGUUCACCCUAGCCUUUCUCUGCUUGGGGCAUGGAUGUCAUCUGACCAAUUGAACCCACUGCUUCAAAUUGAUAAAAGUUCAUUUUGGUGGCUAUAAAUUACUUUACAAAAUAGGUUGAAGCCGCUUUCCAUAAGGCUAUGACUAAGAAGGUCGUAGUAGAUUUUGUCCAGUAUCGCAUUGUUUUGUCGAUUUGGAGUACCUGAAUCAAUCAUUGACAAUGUUGUGAAUCUCAACAGUGAUCUGAUGAAAGCCAUGUGUAAAACAUUCAAGAUCAAGCAUUGAAAUUCCACAGCAUACAAACGACAAAUGAAUGGAGCCGUAGAAGCCGCCAACAAGAAUAUCAAGAAGAUAUUAAGGAAAAUGGCGGAUUACUACAAGAAAUGGUCAGGUACCUGCCAUUUGAUUUGAUCAGGUACCGCACCACAUAUCGUACGUCUACUGGGGAAACCCCAAUAUACCGGUCUAUGGUACCAAAGUCGUUAUUCUCGCCACAGUGGAGAUUUCUUCCUUAAGAAUCAUAGAAGAGGCCGUGCUCAGCGAUGUGAAAUAGAUACAGAGUUGGUAUGAACAACUGGCUCUCAUUGAUGGUAAGAGGAUGAACGCAGUGUGUCACGGCUAACUCUACCAGAAUAGAAUGGCAAGGGCUUUCAACAAAAGGGUUAGAUCAAAGCAACUCACAUCGGGACAAUCGGUGUUUAAACAGAUCUUCCCGCAUAAGGAUGAAGCAACGGGGAAAUUCUCACCCAGUUGGCAAGGCCCUUACAUGGUUCACCGAGUACUGACAGGAGGAGCGCUUAUACUUGCAGAAAUGGAUGGAGAAAUAUGGCCAAAACCUAUCAACUCAGACGCAGUCAAGAGAUAUUAUGUUUAAGAUUAUAUUUAUACUUUCUAUUUGAUGUAACCUGAACUACGCUUGACCUAAUUCCCGUUUAAGAGGGGAUAUGUAGGCAGCCCUAUGGGUUCGGCCACAUCAUAAUAAAAUCUUCAUUACCCCCUAUGGUCAGAAACUGGGGUAAGAUUUCGAGUUCAUCAAUAUCAUUAUGUCGAAUAUCACAAAGAAGCAUAUCGCCAGAAGUAUGCAUAUAAACUGGGGCAAAAUUUUGAGGAGGGUCCUCAAAAUUCCGAGUUAAGGAGGUUACAGUGUCUCAAAAGCAUGUCACAAUCGCCGAUUCGACAAAAUUAUCCGCUUUUAUGCAUUAUCACAUAUUUUGAACAACAGCAAUUUAAAAAAAAUGAAUGAUGAUUUUUCACAAAUGCAUAUUUUCGAAAAUUUCAUUUUUCUGUAAUAGCCAGAUGUUACCCAGGGUGACUCGAACAAGGUAGCAAGACAAGGAGCAAAGUCGAAAUGAAGAAUCAAAGGCACGAACCAACCUUUCCCCAAAACUCACGAUUUUUCCUUGGAUGCAGUCACAAUGGACAUAAGGAGCAUGUCCGAAAAAUAUACAUACAAUAAGAUCAUUAUCUUCACACCGACAGAAGUCUCUAGGCACAAACGUGUCAAACUAAGGACCACUUCUCCCUCUCACAUUUAAUCGUUGCUUCUCCUGCAUAGGGCUAAGCACUACCCUCUUUACAUAGGGGCUAAGCACUACCCUCAUCAUUGCAUAAGGCUAAAUGCUGCCUUUCCUUGCAUGAGACUAAGCACUGUCUCCACUACAUUGCACGAGGCUACGCACCGCCUCCAUUAUUGCAUAAGGUUAAGCACUGCCUCCAUUAUUGCAUAAGGCUAAGCACUGCCUUCCCUUGCAUGAGACUAAGCACUGUCUCCGUUCUUUGCAUGAGGCUAAGCACUACCUCCAUUAUUGCAUAAGGGUAAGCAUUGCCUUCCCUUGCAUAAGACUAAGCACUGUCUCCGUUCUUUGCAUGAGGCUAAGCACUACCUCCAUGAUUGCAUAAGGGUAAGCAUUGCCUUCCCUUGCAUGAGACUAAGCAUUGUCUCAAUUCUUUGCAUGAGGCUAAGCACUGCCUCCAUUAUUGCAUAAGGCUAGGCCUGCCUUUCCUUACAUGAGGCUAAGCAUUGCCUCCACCAUUUUAUAAGGGUAAGCACUGUCUUUCCUUGCAUGAGACUAAGCACUGUCUCCAUUACAUUAUACGAGACUAAGCUCUGCCUCCAUUAUUGUAUAAGGAUAAACUCUGCCUUCCUCUUCAUAGGGCAAAACACUACCCUCAUCACACACAAGGCUAAGCGUUGUCUUGUCCCGUUCUCACAUACAACUAAGCAUCAGUUGUUGCCCUCUAUCAAAUGAUUGAUAUUUACACAUCUUUGCAUUUCAUGGGCUGAAACAUCGCCACAUUGUCCGAAGGCGUCAUAGUCUGAGGGCAUCAUCCUCAUAGCCGGAAGACAUCAUGCCAUGGCCGGAGGAUCUCUCAAAAUUGCAUAUCAUUAUUCCAAGGCGUCAUAGUCUAGAGGCACCAUACUCAUGGCCUGAGGACACCAUUUCAUGGCCCUCGAAUCCAUUAUCAUACGCUUCAUGGCCCAGGACGUCAUGGUCUAAGGACAUCAGCCUUAUCGUCCAAAUGCAACUCUCAAGGUUCGAAGGGAAUUUGCAUCAUGUUUAAAUAACCCAUCUAUGUUCGUGUGCAUCAUGUUUUAAGUUUUGCAGGUAACUCGGGAGGUAACCAUUCUACAAACACGAGCAAUUCUCCCUCUGGUUUCCAUCACAUCCUUCGAUCAUCUCAAACGUAACCGAUGAUUAGCAAUUGAUUACCCCUUGUCAUGUAACCUCUCAAAUACUUGCCUUAUACAUCCGUAACGUUAAAAUUCAUAUCUCCACCUGAUAUUAUCCAUUACUCACGAAACUAUCAUAUCCAAAAACAUCUUUUUCGAAACACACGACCACUCUUAUAACAACUCCAUUGGUUUCGUUCGCUGUUGGAUCCAGAACUACACACAACCCGAUUCCCUUAACACCAGGGAUAUGUAGGCAACUCAAGAACCAAGGUUCGGCCCACGUUUUUUCAAAAAACGCAUCAUCCCCACUUAUUUCGAACAAAAUUGGUCAUUACUUUCUUUACCCGACAAUUAGUUCAUCAUUCCCGAGUAAAGAGGGGCAAUUGUUGAUACCUAAAUUUUCCCUCAUAUUUUUUUAUAUAUAUCCUAUAUAUUUUCAAAAUAUCAUUCCUGCAUCAUCACCAAUUUACUAGAGUUAUAUAAGUAAUUUAUGUAAUUGUUCAUAGUUUUUAAGGCUUUAAAGUUAAUUUUCUUGCAUUUAAAUUAUUCAAAUAUUUAUUAAUUACUCCUUCAAAUUAUUUUGUGAUGACUUAAUCAUCCAAAUUUAAUUUUUACACCUAUAUAUAUGCUUUAUAAUAUUUUACUUCAUUUUAUAUAAUUACAUCUGCAUUUUGAACUAUUUACGCAUCUUUUGCAAUAAUAGCCUAUACUUUAUAAUUAAUUGCAUUUAUCAUUUUUAUUCAUGGUCAUAAUAAUUGUUUUUAUAUUUUUAUAAUCUUCAACUAUUAUUUUAAAAUAUUAAGUUUCAUAAAUAGUAUUUUAUUUAUUUAUUUAUUUAUCUAUUUUAUGAAAUUAUUUUCCCCUAAUUUCUUUUAUUUAAAAUAUGGCCCAAAACAUGCCAAAUUUAGGACCCAAAUCCCUAGCCCGAUUCCUCAGUAGCCCAACCAAAUUACCCAUUACCUUUGACCCGCCCAGUCUCUUGUUUAAUCUUGGCCCAUAACAAAUCUCCCGUUCUCCUUAUAUCCCCAUAACCAAACACUAGAGAACAUUCACCCAAACCGGUCGCCUUUGCACUCUAUCUACUCCUCUCUUCCUCUACACGAAGCCUAGCCGCCGUAUCUCUAAAUCCUCUCCAAAUAUGAGCCCAAAAUGGAAUAAAUCCAUUAUUCACUUACCUAUUUUAUGAUAUUUCGCUACUAUGUACGCGUAUGUGGUGUUACUUAGUUCUUGGCCUUUUUUUGGCAAGAAGUACCUUUCAAAAUCAGGCAUGAUUGACUUCGAUCUUUAAGGAUUCAAAUGGUAUUUCAUCUACAUACACUUGAAUGGAGGUGAUUCUUGCACUCCUAGUUUGAUUUUCAUACGAUUGAACCCGAGUAGGGUUUGUGAUUCUCCAUCUCCUCUACUUAUUCUGAUUUACAUGUGAUAUUUCCUUUCCUUAUUUGUGCUUAAUUGAUUGUUUUCUAUGUUUGUUCGUUUAAUUUUUACUACUAUAUAAAUCCCCAUUUCCAGUUCCCUUCUAAGUCUCAACGAUUUAUUACUUAACUACUAUUACCAUUACUUUGAUUCUUCUAUACUUUUUGCACUUUUGGCACUUUGUCGGCUGAAAUUUAAGGCCACCGGAUUUCGAUUAACUGACCUUCUUAGUGUGAGCAUUGCCCGGUGUUCAUCUAAAACCCUUGGGAACUCUGGAGCAUUGAGUUUUGGGUUCUGCUACUAUCUCUGAUGUCAACGACUGAAGUAUUGUUGGAAUUAUUCUUCUUGUUUACCCGUUUGUUAAUUCGCAACAUGUAAGUAUCUUUGGCUCUGUCAAUUUCAUUCCUUCUCGUUGUGUUCAUGUUUUGUACAUCCAUGUCACUUAAACUUUGUGAAUCUAUAUGCUACUGUGUUACCCCUGCCAUUUUAUGACUCAAAACUUUUCUAGCAUCUGAACUUGUCCAUCCUCUAACUCUGAUGUAUGCCUACUGUAUGUGCUCAACAUGAAUGAUUCUCACUACCUUAAGCAUGCCCAACCUAGUGUGUUUUUGUAUGUUUGAAUGUUUACAUUUGUCACUCAUCCUGAGUUUAUCUCUCUGCCUUGUUCUGUGUCUCUAUGAUAAAUCAAAUCAUAUGUUCUAAUUCCUGUUGGAUCAUUCAUGUGUACUUAAUACCCUACUUUAUAUCAUUUUUAUUUAUAUCAUGAAAUAGUUAAUGGCUUAAUAAUUAGAUAUUAUGAUAUCGAUUGAGUCAUGGCUUGCCUAGCGAGUAGGUUUGGUUCCAUCAUGACACACAUGAAUAGGUAAACCUCGUAUCAAACAACAGAGAAGCAUCUCUAUCGCAGACGAAACCUAAACUUGUGAUCAAAGAAUCUGAAGCCAAUGCCUUGGGUCUACCGGGAAAAGCAUAGCAACGAGCCCGACAUCCUUUGGUCUGACCUCCACUGACCUGGCCACUUUUUACGGCAACCUCUGUCUUCUUGUCCUCACCCUCUAGCUGACUAGGUAGGGGAUUAAGCAACUGGUGCGGGAACCACUGGUUGAAAACUAUGAAGCUACGCCUCUAGAAAUCCUGUGGAAAUACUUCCUCACAUGGAUGAAAUACUCACACUCAUAACAACCCCUUGUUAACUGAGGAUUUUUACCCCGAAUAUGCCAUUGAUGACCCAAAAUACUAACUAGAAGAACCCUAGACAGAUAUUGCACAAUAUGAACUCAAUGGGAGAGCACUAUAUGAUGCUGAAACUGGAGUAUUGAAAGAUGACAAAGCCACUACCAUGGGCUACAUGCUUUUGAGAAUGAGCUGGCAUACAAUGAUGGCCAUAUCAUCCUGAAACACAUGAGAACCAUUAAAACUCUCUCGAUGGUUAGUUGGUAUAGGAGCCUCAACAUGACCAUCAACAAUCUGAUCCUCUACUUGCUCUUCCGGUGGGUCCACUCAUGGGCUAUGGUGAGUGUUCCACCCCUAGUUGCGACCGUGUGACCCUUGGUGGGAGCCUUUGCCUUGCCCGAGGUCCUACCUGUCCUAGCUGUAUCUGGUGGUACUGCCUGUCCCUCAUCUGCUGCUACUACUGAAGCACACGUUUUCACUAUAUGUGAGAUAGUAGAAGAGAACGAUUUAGACUUGGACCAUAAUCAACACACGACAAAUAAUGAAGAAAGCAAAAGUUCCUAAAGAUUAUAGCCUCUCGCGGAUAGAUACUGAUGUCUCUCUGGCGAUCCACAUUACUCUAUUAGGCCUUCUCAUGACUUGUGAAGCUCUUAAAACUAGAGCUCUGAUACUAACUUGUCAAAACCCAAAACUCUAACAAAGGCCAUGAUGGUGCCUAACUCUCUUGCUAGGAAAUCCAACACUCAACAACAAUUAUAAAAGUAAAUUAUUAAGUCAUCAACAGUGUCAUGAUAUAUCAAUAAUAAGUGGAGUAAGUCUCGAAUCAACAUCACAAAUACACAAGUCUAAGACAGGGUCUAAAUACGACCAUAAUUGACUCCCAAACACCAAAACCUUAGUGUCCCAUCAUCCCGAGCAUUGUAAAUGAGUAAAUCAUCUCAACAUAAACGGGAAAGAAGGAACUAGAUAUGGAUAGAUAAGUAGGAAAGGGGGACUCUAUAUGCUCUAGAUCGGAUCAAAUGAGGAAGUUCACCACGAAGUUUCCAAGUAUGCUCCUACACUGCUAGAUAGGUACCAUUAGCACCUGCCUUAGAAUCUGCACAAAAAUAUACAUAAGUGUGGUAUGCACAAAAACACGAAAUAUAAUUUAGAUGCACCAACUCUCUAACUCAUGCAUAUGCAUACGAAAUAUAAUUAUAUCACGACCCCAAAAUAUUCUAGUCGUGAUGGCACCUAACUCAACCUACUAGAUAAGCUAAAUAAUUUUCAACACAACUUAAAUGAGAAUAAUAAGAGUCAAUGAGUAAAAUAACAAAAUUUCUAUACAAAAUCCCAAGGAUUAGUAGUACAAGCCAUGAGUCACUAAGACUUAGAUUUACAAAGCUGAUAUGAGAAUUAAUAUAACAUCUGUUUGGAAUGUUCAAAAACAUAUUACGAAUCUAAAGCUACCGAUGACAAGUGGCAGAUAUAUCCGGAAGCAGGUACAUCAUCAAUGCUAGCUCCCACCAUAUACAACAGCAUCAUCUCCAAGAUCUGCACGCAAGGUGCAAAGGUAUAGUAUGAGUACAACCCACCCCAUGUACUCAAUAGGUAUCAAACCUAACCUUGGGUUGAAAGCGGUGAAGAGCUCGGACAAUGGUCGGAGUCCAACACCAAUAGCCAAUAACAAUUCAUAACAAUAUAAUUAAGACAAUAAAAGUAAAUAACUUAAGAGAUGUUAUGCUCAGCUCGGUCACGAUUAUGGGAAAGAAGACAUGCAUUUCAAGUAUAACUGUAAAGUCCAAAGUUUACCACUGAAAAUCAAUUUCACAUGAUUUUAUCAAACGAACUAUGUUUUCCAAUUCCCAACAUAAGAUAAGACUUUUUGUUUACCCAUUAUCAUGAGGAAAGUACAUCUUUAUGCCUAUAUGUCAAUAAAAAUAUCAAGUCAUCAAAUGUCAUAUACUAUCUAGCAUAAGGGAAAUACAUUUCUAUGCCUGCAUGUCAAGUCAUCAAAUGUCAUAUUACCAUCUAGAAUGAGAAAAAUAUAUCUUUAUGCCUACAUGUCAAAUAUAGAUGUCAACUCAAUACCAUCACAAUGAAAACAUCAAGAAUAACCACACUUAGCAUGCUCACAGUGCCUGGGACAAGGCCUUCAUGAUCACACGAAUCAACAUUUAGCAUUGUACGAGUGCCUGGCAUAAAUGUCCCUCGCCAAAGCACAUAUAUAAAUCAUUAUGAAUGCGCCCACUGCUGGCAGGUCAGACUCUGGAGGGGCGGAUCCUACCCAAGUGCUAUUCAUAAUCACAUAGCCCAAUAAUGGGGCCUGGUGCACGCGUAACCCUAAAUCAGUAACACUUAGCACAAUAUGAGUCUGGCGUAUGUGUCACUUCAAAAUCAAUACUAAAUCGGCUCUAUGGCCCAAGCUCAAUCAUCAACCACUCAAGUUUCAGUUAACCACAUCUCACAGUACUCAAUUCAACAGUGUUACACAUAUGAAACAUCAACAACAUGUGAGGAAUCAAAUAAGAAAGUACUGAGAUAGAGAUAACAUACAUGGAUAUAGCAUAUUGACUAAGAGUAUGUGUACAAUUAAGGCAAAUAGCUCAUAAAUAGCAAAAUUAGCCCUAUCAUGUCUCAAACAAACAACACAUAGCCUAGACAUGAUUUCUAACAUGAAUCAGAACUCAAACAAUCAUACAUAUUUAGAAUACACAACUAUAACAAGGCAUGAAAGAAAACAAAUCCCACAAUUGUCUAGAAGCCACCUCAAAUCACUAAUACUCCGGUGAACGCACUCGCGCCCGUCACCUAGCGCGUGCAUCACCCCAAUACAUCUCAUAUAACAUAGUUACCAAGGUUAAUUACCCUCAAAUCCAAGUUUAGAUAUGUUACUUACCUUGAACAAGUCAAAUCAAAUACCAAGCAAACCAAAACAUACUCUAAAUAUGCCAUCCCACGCAAAUCAACCUCCGAACGGCACAGAACUAGCCAAAAGCAACUCGAAAACAUCAAAUAAUGUCAUAGAAAGCAAACCCAAGCGAUAAAUGUCGAAUCUUUAAUAAAAUACUCAAAUUUAACAAAAUAAUCAACUGGGUAUGCACCUUGGAACCUGACAAAACUCAAAAUAUGAUUACCUAUUCUAAUACGAGUCCAAUCAUACUAAUUUCACUCAAAUCUGACUUUGAAUCGAUGUGCAAAACCAAUUUAUUCACUUUGGAAAAACCACCAAUUUCUCUAAAUAAAACAUGGAUUAAUUAACAAAUCAACUAGUGUAAUCAUGUUAAAAAACAAAAAUUGAGGUUAGAUAUUGACUCCCAUGAAAAUGCGAGAAGAACUCCACGAAACUCACCUCGAUCGAAGCUAUAGUACUCAAGACAUGCUCAAAUUACCAAAAGAACGCAGUUUGAGUUUUUUAAUAUACAGAGAUUCCGCACCUUCGGUUUUCCAGCUGUCAUUUCCACUUCUGCGGAGUACUUUUUGCACAUGCAGGGUCAUAGAUGAGGUCCCCACUUUGCAUCUGCGAAGCACCAACACUAGCUCUCUUCUCCGACCCUAAAAUGGGCAUAACUCCCUCAUAUGAUAUCCAAAUUCGAUGAUUCUUUUUACUAUGGCUCCAUCAUUUUGAUACAAAUAUAAUGCUUUAGUAGAAAACAAUUUAGAGCUCAUUUUCAUAAUGUGAUACCAUUUUAUUCUUGAAGAAACGACGCCGAAAGAUCAAAUACAAGCGCAACACAACCCCAAACAUAUCUGAAACUCACUCGAGCCCCUCGGGAUCCUGUCCGAACAUACCAAUAAAUCCCAAAACAUACCAAGGACCUACUUGAGGCCUCAAAUAUCACAUAACUACAUCAAAACCACGAAUCACACCUCAAAUCAAGCUUAGUGAACUAUAUCAAAUUUUCAAAUUCCAAUCUUACGCCGAACACGUCUAAACAACUCGGAAUCACCUAAAAUUUUGCAAACAAGUUCCAAAUGACGUAACAAACCCAUUCUAACUCCUAGGACAACAAUCCGAACCCAAUAACAUCAAAGUCAACUCCUGGUCAAACCUAUUAACUUUUCAAAUCUUCAAGUUGCAAACUUUCGCCAAAGAGUGCAAAAACCUUCAAGAAACAUCCAAAUACAAAUCCGGGAAUACGCCCAAGUCCAAAAUCACCAUGCGGGCCUAACAGAACCAUAAAAACUCUGAUCAGAGGUCAAAUACACCAAAGUCAAUCUUGGUCAAAUCUUCAAACUCAAUUCUUCCAAAUUGAGAAUCAUUCUUCCAAAUCAAUCCCGAACCACUCGAAAACCAAAUUCGACGAUGCACGCCAGUCUAAUACAUCACAUGAAUCUAAUCAAUAUAUCAAACCCCUGAACUGAAUGCCAAUGCUCAAAAUGACUGGGUGGGUCGUUACAUUCUCCUUCACUUAAACAUAUGUUCGUCCUCGAAUGUGACAAGAGUAGUUCCAAAGACAUUAAAGUGUUGUAUAAACUCAUCACGCACAUACUCAUAGGUGAUCGCACAUCACUCCAAUCCAUAUAAGUCCGACAACACAACCUAACUACAGAUCCUUACACCAGCCUUAGUCCUUAAACCUUAUAACCCAAUCUCAACAUCUGAAAUUCAUUAUUAGAACCAGUUUUUGCAUCUAUACAAUGUAUAAGUGUAAAAGCUUUGUAGAAAUCCGUAACCAUAACCCAAGAUAUAAUCAAAUGAUAUAUCGUGUAACUUAGAUGCUUAUAGUAAUUUCGACCAUAGUAUCUGCUCAAUAACAAACCCGGUACCGGUAGCAAACCACAUAUCAAAUAAAACCUUUCCUAAUCCUCCAAACACUACCAAUUAUAAAAGAAACAUAUAGAAUAUCAUAACCACUCAUUAGAUCAACAAGUCGUGGAGCUCUUCGCCCUACAUGAACCGUAGCCAAAUUCUAAGCUGACUAGUGACAUUAUUCUCCCAAAUAUACCUUAAUCAAAUCCAAUAGCACUCAUUGCAGGUCCAAUAACUUCAUCUCAUCCAUUACAAGAUACUCGACCGACAUGGCAUACCAAUACCACCUAGUGCCACAUACCAUGUAAUCUGUGCACCAAAUAAACAAAAACUCAAAUGUACCCAAUGAUUGAAAGAGAAUUAAAUAAGAGAACCGUCUCGCAAGCUUAACAGAUACCACCACAAAGCACAAUGCUAUGAGCCCAUCGCACAAAGGAGAAACAAAACUCACAAAAUAAGCAUAAAUGAUCAUAUUCCAACAUAACUCUGCUGCGAUGCAUGACCCACUCCAAACGCCGGCCCACAUGGAUUACCUCGAGCCAUGGCGCUCGCAACCAACAACCAUAUUCAUAAAAACAACAAACACACAAAGUGCAUGACCAUAGCGAUGGAGAAAAGGAUGACACAAUAUACCACAAAUAGGAAGACCAUAACAAAAGUGCGACCAACUAUUCAAUACCCUCAAGAGGCAUCUUACUCAAAUUCCGCUACAAGGCCCAAACAGAACCGCAUCAUGUGUGUAAAUAGUCAACAAUAUCACAACUCAUUGUAGCAUAAAAGAUCAAUACGUGGAACAUAUCAGAACACGAAUAGGAUUAACUCUAGUUGAUGAUAAACCCCUCAACAAUAACUGUGUUAAGUAAAUAAAUCCAACCUGAUGUAGAAUACGCAUUCUCAUUAGGCCUACCUGUGGCCUCCAAAUCAAUUCUGAUCCUUCCAAAAUAGGUAGAUAACCUUCCCAAAUAUCCAUUGAAACCUAUCCAUAUCACAUACCAUCAGUCGUCUAACUCUAGCCAUAUCUUCAUAGUCCACAACCAAGGAAUAGUCCACCUCUAAGACUCCCAGUCUCCAAAUAACAAGAAUACAAAAUCUCCAUAUCUGAUCCCGACUCGACCACCCAAAUGACGAACACGUCUCUCAUGCACAAUCAUUUCAUGAGAAAUACUUCCAUAAUUCUUUUCUGGUACAUAGUAAAUCUGAACAUCAGUAGUCGAGCAACCAGAUGAUUACUUUAAUAAUAGUCAAGCAUCUGCAAUUAUUAACACAGUACGCCUUCUGAAGUGAGCAUGCUUCUCAGGUGAUACCAGAUAGUGCUUGCAUUCUUCUAAAGGUCUGAAACUGUCUAUUCCUUCUAGAACUCAUGAUCCUCCCUUCAAAACUGAACCGCAAAUUCGUACAUACAAAUCUCAAUCCAACAAGUCACACCGUAUCUAUCAUGCCAUCGUAGGAAAACACGAGAUUCCCUGUCAUGCUCCGACCUCGGAGAGCGCAACCAGCGCUCCACCGAGAUAAUCCGGUUGAGAAAGCUUGUACAAUACCUUCUAUCCGAACUCACCCAUGAAUAAAGAGAUCUAUUUCAUUAAUUAGACAAUGGGGAGGUCAUGUGAGCUGUAUUUGAAAGUGAUUUCUUGGAAAUGUUUUUGAAAAAAGAUUUGUUUUUAAAAAUAGUUUGAAAAUAUUGUUGGGGGAAGGUUUUGAUAAAUAAUUUUAAAAAUUAUUAUAGGUGGCACAUAUAUGUAUUUUUUAUUCUUGACUAGAUAUGAGUACGGGAACCGCUUUGGUUGAAACCACGUUGGCCAACUGUAUCUCCAUCCAAAGGUAAUCGGCUCGUCCCGUCCUCGUCUUUCUUUUUCGAUGUUUAUCAUCAUCGCCUCUUUAUUUCUGGCCCAGUACGCAGGGUCAUUCGGGGCAUCAUGGCCUCUAUAAUGCGAGGAUUAUUUUCCAAUGGCCUUGGUGUAUUAGAAGCUCACCAUAUCAGUAGCAUCAAACCAAGACAAAUAUUCGUUCAAGAAUGCAUUAUCAACGAUAUUCAAAAUAUUUAUUGUUAUCCUCAAAAGGCAUAUUGUUUCCAUAGGAGAAUUAUAACUAUAUCGUUAAAAUACCACUUACCAUAGAAGAGAUCCAGUCGUAACAAAACCCAAGAUGCAACUAAUCCAACACAACAUUUAUAGCAAGGAUAGUCGUUACUGUGGUCAAGCCAACAUAGAGGUUCAUGAGUGUUUAAAAAAUUAGUUUCGACAACCAAACACCAUUUUAGCAAGAGACAUAGGGGCCAAGAGAAUUCAAACAGUAGUAACCAAAUAUGAAAACAAACCAAAAGAGCCAUAGACGGAUACUUAAUAGUAUAACAAGGUUAAAACCCUAAUGAAAGAAAACGUCAUAGCAACAGUAAUAUAAACGGAGAGUCAUGAAAAGGGUAAGAAACAACUUAAGAAUCGGCCAUGAAUAGAUAUAACAAUAACCAAAGUCCUAUAUGAGUACAAUAGAAAAAAUAAACCAUAACAAUGGCCAAACAACAAUUCUCCGGAGUUUAAUUUUUCCGGCGCCAUAUCUGAUAAAUUUGGGGAGCGUAAAACCAAAACAUGUCAACAAUAGUACGACAAGAUAUGAGAUAUUACGACCAAGAUUUUGGCUGUAGAGGUGUAGCAACGACUCUUAUUAAGCUCGUCGGCCAGCUGGUGGUCAAACCAAGCUACAUCGAACCCAAUAGUCAGCGGCGAAGAGAGAGAGGGAAAGAGGUAGGGAGAUAGGAUAGUGAUGAGGAGUGGCCAUCGUUUGCAGUGGGAUGCCGUUGAGCUUUUUAUAUGAGGCAGUGGUGAAAUCCAUGAUGGGUGGCAGCCAAUUGUCUCUCAAAAGAGAGAGAUGAUAGGCUUUUUGACAGAGGGAUGACUACCUUAUAAUAAUGGGGUAGUGUUAGAGUUUUAGACCCCCUUUAAAAUAAAACAUCU